rnacentral:rRNA from 1 species
GCACUGCCCGGUAGCUAAAUGCGGAAGAGAUAAGUGCUGAAAGCAUCUAAGCACGAAACUUGCCCCGAGAUGAGUUCUCCCUGACUCCUUGAGAGUCCUGAAGGAACGUUGAAGACGACGACGUUGAUAGGCCGGGUGUGUAAGCGCAGCGAUGCGUUGAGCUAACCGGUACUAAUGAACCGUGAGGCUUAACCUUACAACGCCGAAG